GGUUCAGAGAUGAGAUCUUCACGUCUGGUUUCCACAACAAUGAAAUGUAUAAAUCUGAGUGACGGGACUUCACCGGAGAGAAAGAAGUCAAAACCACGGAUGCCUUUAAUGAGAGAUGUGUCCAUAAAUAUGUCCUGAUAUGGUGGCAGCCUGUUCACAGCGUCUCCCUCUUCAAAUAUAGCCAGGAGAACGACUUCCCUGGCUUCUCUCCCUGCGAGCUCCUCAAACAUUAAUGCAGAGGAUGAAUAAUGGAUGCUCUGACUGUCGGUGUUGGGAGAGAAUGACGGUAAAUACAGUUUACCUCAACUUUUG